rnacentral:rRNA from 1 species
GUUCUUUUGAUGUUAAUUUAAGAUUUAAUCUGCUCAAUGAAGGGUUAAAUAGCCGCAGUAUUUUGACUGUGCGAAGGUAGCAUAAUAAUUAGUCUCUUAAUUAGGGACUUGUAUGAAUGAUUGGACAAGAAAAUUUCUGUCUCUUUUUAAUUUUUUUUGAAUUUAAUUUUUGAGUUAAAAUGCUUAAAUAUUUAUAAAAGACGAGAAGACCCCAUAGAGUUUUAUUUUUAUAAAAUUUUAGUAUUAUUAUUUAAAAAAAAUUAGUUGGGGUGACUGAAAGAUUAGAUAAACUCUUUUAAUUUAGAUCAUUGAUUUAUGAAUAUGAAAUCUAAUUUUUUAAAUUUAAAUUAAAUUACCUUGGGGAUAACAGCGUAAUUUCUUUUUAGAGUUCUUAUCAAAUGAGAAGAUUGCGACCUCGAUGUUGGAUUAAAAUUUAUUUUAGGUGUAGAAGCUUAAACAUUAAGUCGCCUGUUUAUCA